rnacentral:rRNA from 1 species
GGACUACUAGGGUUUCUAAUCCCGUUCGCUCCCCUGGCUUUCGCGUCUCAGCGUCAGUAAGAGCCCAGGACCUCGCUUUCGCCACGGGCGUUCCUUCCGAUCUCAACGCAUUUCACCGCUCCACCGGAAGUUCCAGGUCCCCCUACUCCCCUCCAGGCUGCUCGUAUCGGUGCCCGUUCCCCGGUUGAGCCGGGGGAUUUCAGCGCCCGACGUGACAGCCCGCCUACACGCGCUUUAAGCCCAGUGAUUCCGAAUAACGUUCGCACGGUUCGUCUUACCGCGGCUGCUGGCAC